AACGAACGUUGGCGGCAUGGAUUAGGCAUGCAAGUCGGGGGAAUCCCAGCAAUGGGGGAACCGGCGUAAGGGGCAGUAAGGCAUGGGUACCUACCCGGGGGUUCGGGAUAGCCACCAGAGAUGGUGGGUAAUACCGGAUGACCUCGUGAGAGCAAAGAUUCAUCGCCCCCGGAGGGGCCCAUGUGAUAUUAGCUAGUUGGUGGGGUAACGGCCCACCAAGGCGAAGAUGUCUAGCGGGUGUGAGAGCACGACCCGCGCCACUCGCACUGAGACACUGGCGAGACACCUACGGGUGGCUGCAGUCGAGGAUCUUCGGCAAGGGGCGAAAGCCUGACCGAGCGAUGCCGCGUGCGCGAUGAAGGCCUUCGGGUUGUAAAGCCCUGUCGAGGGGGAGAAAAGCCGAAAGGUGUGAUCUAUCCCUGGAGGAAGCACGGGCUAAGUUCGUGCCAGCAGCCGCCGUAACAC
rnacentral:rRNA from 1 species